rnacentral:rRNA from 1 species
CAGCCGCCACGGGAAUACAGAGGGUGCGAGCGUUAAUCGGAUUUACUGGGCGUAAAGCGUGCGUAGGCGGCUUCUUAAGUCGGAUGUGAAAUCCCUGAGCUUAACUUAGGAAUUGCAUUCGAUACUGGGAAGCUAGAGUAUGGGAGAGGAUGGUAGAAUUCCAGGUGUAGCGGUGAAAUGCGUAGAGAUCUGGAGGAAUACCGAUGGCGAAGGCAGCCAUCUGGCCUAAUACUGACGCUGAGGUACGAAAGCAUGGGGAGCAAACAGGAUUAGAUACCCCUGUAGUCCCUGUCUCUUUACA